GACGAACCGAGCGAACGUUGUUCGGAAUUACUGGGCGUAAAGGGCGCGUAGGCGGCCUGUUAAGUCGAACGUGAAAUCCCCGGGCUCAACCCGGGAACUGCGUCCGAUACUGGCAGGCUUGAAUCCGGGAGAGGGAUGUGGAAUUCCAGGUGUAGCGGUGAAAUGCGUAGAUAUCUGGAGGAACAUCAGUGGCGAAGGCGGCUACCUGGCCCAAUACUGACACUCAGGUGCGACAGCGUGGGGAGCAAACAGG
rnacentral:rRNA from 1 species